rnacentral:rRNA from 1 species
UACGUAGGAUCCAAGCGUUAUCCGGAAUCACUGGCGUAAGCGUGCGUAGGCGGCGUGUUAAGUGAGAUGCGAAAUCUGGUGGCUCAACCAUCUAGACUGUAUUCAUAACUGGCAUGCUAGAGAGAGGCAGAGGUAAGUGGAAUUGAUAGUGUAGCAAGUGAAUGCGUAGAUAUUAUCAGGAACACCAAUGGCGAAGGCAGCUUACUGGGCCUUUCUGACGCUGAGGUACGGAAAGCGUGGGAGCGAACAGG